UACGUAGGGGGCGAGCGUUGUCCGGAGUACUGGGCGUAAAGCGCACGCAGGCGGUCUGCUAAGUUUGGAGUGACAGUUGGUGGCUUAACUGCCAAAGUGCUUCGAAAACUGACAGACUUGAGGGCUUCAGAGGGACACGGAAUUCCCGGUGUAGCGGUGAAAUGCGCAGAUAUCGGGAGGAACACCGGUGGCGAAGGCGGUUCUCUGGGCCUUACCUGACGCUGAGGAGCGAAAGCGUGGGGAGCGAACAGG
rnacentral:rRNA from 1 species